ACUGCUCUAAUACUAAUUAUUACGAAUCCACAAGUUACAACUCACUCUUAAAUGGGUUGUAAGAGGAGGAUGCCUUAGUGUUAAUAAAUUACAAAUUAAUCCCAUAUCUAGUUGAUAUGGGAUCUAACAUUCUUUUUUUUUUUUAAUACUGAUUAAUCAUCAGAUUACUGCAUUACACAGAUAUUUACAACAACUGCUAUUGUAGCAGAGAUAUUACACUGAUAUUUACAAUCAGAUAUACAUGAUUGGGACUUACAUUAUUACAUUGAAUUCUAUGAAGUACAUGCCCAGACAAAUAACCCCUCAUAGGAGAGGGAUAUCCAUACUCCACUUGUAUUUCGCAAGGGAGAAGGAUUUUUAAAUAUAAAGAACAUUUAACCCCCACAAUGCUUUUGUGGGGGCUAGAACCGCUGCCCUCACAAGCAUUGUGAGGACAGCAGCCCACCACUUCGGCCAAGGCCGAAGUGG
rnacentral:lncRNA from 1 species